CCUGCGGAGGGAUCAUUACCGAGUUUACAACUCCCAAACCCCUGUGAACAUACCAAUUGUUGCCUCGGCGGAUCAGCCCGCUCCCGGUAAAACGGGACGGCCCGCCAGAGGACCCCUAAACUCUGUUUCUAUAUGUAACUUCUGAGUAAAACCAUAAAUAAAUCAAAACUUUCAACAACGGAUCUCUUGGUUCUGGCAUCGAUGAAGAACGCAGCAAAAUGCGAUAAGUAAUGUGAAUUGCAGAAUUCAGUGAAUCAUCGAAUCUUUGAACGCACAUUGCGCCCGCCAGUAUUCUGGCGGGCAUGCCUGUUCGAGCGUCAUUUCAACCCUCAAGCCCCCGGGUUUGGUGUUGGGGAUCGGCGAGCCUCACGGCAAGCCGGCCCCGAAAUACAGUGGCGGUCUCGCUGCAGCUUCCAUUGCGUAGUAGUAAAACCCUCGCAACUGGUACGCGGCGCGGCCAAGCCGUUAAACCCCCAACUUCUGAAUGUGACCUCGGAUCAGGUAGGAAUACCCGCUGAACUUAAGCAUAUC
rnacentral:rRNA from 2 species